rnacentral:RNase_P_RNA from 1 species
CCGACCGGUCGGAUAGUCGCUCUCUGCGAUAAAAGGACCAAUCCGUGUUAAAUUUUAUGUUUUCUUUUAUCCUGAGAGAGGAAAGUCUGAACUCCGAAGAGCGGGAUGCUGGGUAAAGCCCAGGGGGUGUGAAAGCCCACGGAAAGUGCAACAGAAAACAUACCGCCCCCAUACUUAUUUUCAAAGCAGGAGAUCCUCCGGGAUUCCUCAGGCGGGGAAAAUAUAGAGGGGGUAAGGGUGAAAAGGCGAGGUAAGAGCUCACCGCUCCGGUGGCGACACCGGAGGCAGUGUAAACCCCAUCCGGAGCAAGGCCGAAUAGGGCACACUAGGGUUGCUCGCCCUGUGCCGGGUUGGCCGCAUGAGCGUAUAGGUAACUGUACGCCAAGAGGAAUGACUAUCGCCCCCCGUAUUUUUAUGCGUAUUGCUCCACAACUUCCAGAUAUUGUAGGGGGGUAACAGAAUUCAGCUUAUGAACCGGUCGGAUUU